GUAUAUCAGCUCGUGUCCUGGUGUGUGUGUGUAGUGAAGUGGAAGCGAUCAGGAGAAGACUCUCCAAUGCUGUAAGCAACUACAGAGAGGAGAAGGAGCUCUGCUGGAGGACGGGCCGAUACCUGGAGAGAAGAUAACAAAGCUGUAUUAUCUCAGAGGGAAAGGUCAGAGAAUGAGGUCAGCUAUGCAGAAACUGAAGGAUCUAAGAAAGGAGCAACGAGAGUUAUAGAAGCAGCUGGAUACCAGGCAUGAAAAUGAACCUCUGCAAGCAACGUGAUCGUUUAUGCUGGUUUAAAAAAGUCUCCGUUACUCAGUGACACCUUUAACCAGUAACUGACUACUCGCUGAAACUACUCGCAGCACGCUGCAGUCUUUGAUGAGCAGAUCUCAGUUUCUAUAUUACACUGACUUUUCUCCCAUCUGUCCGUUCUUCACUGUCACAGAGCUGCACUGCGAUUCCAAGAGGAGUCCAGGAGAAACACAAACUAUGAUGCCACAAAUAAGAUACAACAUCACAACAUUUGGGCACAAAAUGAAAAGACAGAGAUGAGGUACUUAACCGCACAUCACACUAAAACAGGUCCCUUGUGCUUUGCUGAUUUGAGUAUUGUGUGUUUGUGCUUAGUUGGUGGUGUAACUGUGUCAAGGUCGUGUGGGGAGUAAAGUUAGGAGGCUUCCUCCUCGGUGUGCUCGUUUCGGUGGCCUCUGUCUGCGUCACUCCGCCUCCAACCUGCGGGAAUCCGACUGUGCAGCACACAGCGUCCAUCCUGUUUGUUAACAACUAACUGGAAUUCAUAUGAGUCUACACGCCACCUAACGCAGUAGCAUUAACAUCAGCCAGUAACGGGGCUCUCUCAUCUGUGGCUCUCUUCGUGCAGCGCUGUGUCGUUGCUUUCAAGUUAAAUAAAAGAGUAAAAAAUUGGAAAACUUAGACUUUGAAGGUUUCAUUUAUUUAUUUUG